CAGGGAACAAAGGCUAAAGGCUUCAGUGUUUCAUUCAGGUGAUAAAGUUCAGGUCUUUACAGUCAAAUUCAAUCGAACCGCUCCACCUUUAACAGGUCAGGCUCGCACAUUCCAUGUGAACUUGAAACUAUGUAUUAACAACAAAGGCGCUCUGCUGACCCGUUGUGUGGAGGGCCGACUCCUAUUGGGCUGUGUAAAAAAAACACUGAGAAAGAUAUCAAUGUAAAAUAUCAAACAAACCUCCCCUUUGAGCAUUUAUCAGUUGCAGUUGCAGAACUGAGGACGUUCCAAAGUCCCCGCUGUGUGGAAGCAAUGACUGACACCACAGCGUGGGAACGCGCAACACCACCGAGGAAAACUGACGAAAUGGUGUCAACACCAAAAACUGUAGAAGAACUUCUACCAGCAGACUGACGAGACGGACACUCCGCAGGCGCUAAGAGACCAGCUACUCUCAGGGCAGAGCUAAGAUUGAAAAAAACCUGGGGACAUCAGGAGAACUGUGGAUGUGACAGCACAGCAGACCGUGUUGUUUGGAUCUGCAGUCAUUCCAUUUCACAGGACAGAUGAACUGCAGCUUUGUCUCCUGACUGAAACGGUCCCAGCAGACGGUUCUCACAGCCGCUCAACAUUGACCGCUAGAUUGAGAGUGGCACAUGGCCAACACAGCAAAGUCAAACCCAAGGGCAGAGUCAAUCGUUGAUGACCCGCAGCGGCCUGCCGGUUUAAGAUGAGGAGCGUGCCUGUGUGUGUGUGUGUGUGUGUGUGUGUGUGUGCGUGUGAACCAGCGUCUGGUAGGACCAAUGAGCCUUUCACAUCUGAAGAGCUGGGAUGUGGCAUCACCUGCACAUACACACCAACAUUCAUAUGGGGAUAUUUGUAUCACUGUGAGCUCAAAAGUCAUCAUGCUGUUUAAGCAGCAAAUGGAACCCGGCUGCCACCACACCAAGGUUCACCCAUCACACUGGUUUUACUGUGUCCACAGAACAUUGUAUUGCU